rnacentral:lncRNA from 1 species
CUAAGGAAGAAUGUUCAGAGAGAUGCAAAGUUUCUGGCUUUGAAGCUGGAGGAGGCAGGGAGUGCAAGUGGCCUCUAGAAGAUGAAAAAGGGGAUGAGAGCCUGGAAACUACUUUCCUCAGAAUCAUCGUUAGAGUUCAUCAAUGGAGGUAUGAAAUUUGGAAGGCAGAAGAAAUGCAGAAACCACCACUGCACCUGUGACAGAAGUAGGCACUGUUGCUGAGAAGCCCCUAGAUCUGGGGUUGAAAGGUAGGAGUCUACUACUGAUUGGCUGGAUGACCUACAGCAAGGAAGGGAUGUGUUGUUACAUGAUAAUGGGGCAAACAAUCCUGUCUAUCUCCAUUGCCAGAACAGAUGAGAGAGUCCAUGAAAGUUCGAGAAGAACAAAUUGCUACAUAAUUGGAAGGGAUUAAGUUACAAAUAUUGAUUUGUUA